rnacentral:rRNA from 5 species
CACACGACUCUCGGCAACGGAUAUCUCGGCUCUCGCAUCGAUGAAGAACGUAGCGAAAUGCGAUACCUGGUGUGAAUUGCAGAAUCCCGCGAACCAUCGAGUCUUUGAACGCAAGUUGCGCCCGAGGCCACCCGGCCGAGGGCACGCCUGCCUGGGCGUCACGCC